UCGUUCUUUUGGUCUGCGGCGCUCUUGGAGCAGUGUGCGACCGUUUCUGCUUCGGUGGUAGUAGCUUCCGCCUUCUGCCCCACGUUUUGUGAACGAUUAUCGCAGUCAGGGAGUACAGCAUGGAUGUGGGAGAACGGAGUCACCUCUGGGCCUUGGACAGGGUUCCAUUAAGACAUCUCCAACCUUGGAUCUCCUGAGCUACAGGGUUUGCUGAUGGCCUAAACCAGCCUCUGAAUGGAGCAAGAUGAAUUGUGGGCAUGGGAAAGGGUUGGUCAUCACAACCUGAUCUUUGGUUCGUGCCUGUAACAGAAGUUUCUUGCCUAUGGAGUGGGGAGUACAAAGACCUGACAUCAGCUGUGUGUUCCUGAGCCAGGCAGCAGGUGUUUUUUGUUUUGUUUUGGUACUGGGAGUUGAACUAGGGACCCCGCACUUGCUUGCCAGGCGGGUGAUUCCAAUUUGUAACAGCUUUCCUACCUGGGAAAAGAAAAUAAAAUUCUUGAAA